rnacentral:rRNA from 1 species
UACAGAGGUCUCAAGCGUUGUUCGGAUUCAUUGGGCGUAAAGGGUGCGUAGGCGGUGCGGCAAGUCGGAGGUGAAAUACUCUGGGCUCAACCCAGAGGCUGCUUCCGAAACUGCUGUGCUUGAGUGUGGGAGAGGCGCGUGGAAUUGCAGGUGUAGCGGUGAAAUGCGUAGAUAUCUGCAGGAACACCCGUGGCGAAAGCGGCGCGCUGGACCACUACUGACGCUGAAGAACGAAAGCUAGGGGAGCAAACAGG